AUGAACGCUGGCGGCGUGCCUAAUACCUGCAAGUCGAGCGAACAGACGAGGAGCUUGCUCCUCUGACGUUAGCGGCGGACGGGUGAGUAACACGUGGAUAACCUACCUAUAAGACUGGGAUAACUUCGGGAAACCGGAGCUAAUACCGGAUAAUAUAUUGAGCCGCAUGGUUCAAUAGUGAAAGACGGUUUUGCUGUCACUUAUAGAUGGAUCCGCGCCGCAUUAGCUAGUUGGUAAGGUAACGGCUUACCAAGGCAACGAUGCGUAGCCGACCUGAGAGGGUGAUCGGCCACACUGGAACUGAGACACGGUCCAGACUCCUACGGGAGGCAGCAGUAGGGAAUCUUCCGCAAUGGGCGAAAGCCUGACGGAGCAACGCCGCGUGAGUGAUGAAGGUCUUCGGAUCGUAAAACUCUGUUAUUAGGGAAGAACAAAUGUGUAAGUAACUAUGCACGUCUUGACGGUACCUAAUCAGAAAGCCACGGCUAACUACGUG
rnacentral:rRNA from 1 species